UGAUAACCCACUAACUGCUCAUGCUAGGAUUCAGAUCUUCUGGUUUGCCUUGGCCAACUUUCUGUUUGCUCACCGGGGCAUACCAUUCGUUUUUCACGCAGGCUAUUUCUUUUCAUGUCCCAUAUUGUAUCGGGACCCUUUCUUUCUCUCGUUUCUUCUAUCCUCUGCUUCAUUUCUCUCACACUUUCACUUUUUUCAUAGUUGGCUACUCAGUCCUUCUCUAUGGCAUAUGACUUAG